AACACAGAGUAGAACGGCAGGAGCGCCGCAACCUCAGUUCAAAAGAAGCCCGUACUGCUCGUAAAACAGAAAAAAUAGUUGAAUUCCAGGCCUUUAAGGAAGAGCUGUAUGGCCCUGGAAUUGCUGAUUAAGCAAAAAUCGAAAUUAAUUUUGUAACCUCGGCGUUUUCCGACGCAAAUUCGAGGAGCAAACUUCAGACAGCUGCUGUGCCGCCAUGCUCAAGUUUUAAAAAAAAAAAGAAAAAAAAAUUUAAUUAGUUUAAAUAUUAAAUAUUAUCGUAUACUUUGUCAUUCUUCUAUAUAUUUUGCCAUAUUU